UUGAUAGAGUUUCGUAUGUC
rnacentral:siRNA from 1 species